UUGUGUUAGGGAUUAUAGUGAAAAUCCUUUUUAAAAAAGACAAACUAUACACUAUGUUUUUAAAUUAAACUUUUACAGAUUGCCAUAUCGCUCACUCUAAAAAUGACGUUUUUUAAAAAGAUUGAAACGCAAAGCCCGACCCGAC
rnacentral:sRNA from 1 species